UACGUAGGGUGCGAGCGUUAAUCGGAAUUACUGGGCGUAAAGCGUGCGCAGGCGGUUUUGUAAGCCAGAUGUGAAAUCCCCGGGCUUAACCUGGGAAUGGCAUUUGGGACUGCAAGGCUCGAGUGCGGCAGAGGAGACUGGAAUUCCUGGUGUAGCAGUGAAAUGCGUAGAUAUCAGGAGGAACACCGAUGGCGAAGGCAGGUCUCUGGG
rnacentral:rRNA from 1 species